rnacentral:lncRNA from 1 species
UCCCUAGUUCUGACAAUGCCUAGUGCAUGCAUUAGAGUGUUGCAUCAUGUUUAAAUUUCAUUUAAACCUGAAAUGGGGAUUGUUCAAACCCUAGCAUCAAAGAGGAAUUCAAAUAGGUUCAACCAAAAUAUUUUUCAAUGAUUUCAAAAUGCCCUUUAAAAAUGUUCAUCAUUUCUGGAUCAAGGUGGAAGCAUCUACCAAAAAUGGUUCACAUUUUUGCAGGACAUAUUUGGACUUUGAAUUAAUUCAAACAUAUUUGAAUUGGGGCUAUUUAAAUGCUAUAAAUAUUUUAGAUGCUCCAAAAAUGUUGGAAAUUGUUGAGGGUCACUGAAAUAAUUCAGAAAGCACCCAUAAUUAUUUCCAGGAUUUUAUGAAAUGGUUUAGCUUUAUUACUAAACCAAAACAAAAUAACAGAAAUAGAAAAACUAAAAUAAAAGAGAGAGAGAGAGACUCACCUGGGCACUUACCUGGCGCCCACCAAGCCCACCUGGGCCUCACCUGCGCUGGCCCAGCCCACCUGGCCUGGUGCCAGUCAUCACCUACCUUUGCCAGUAGGCAGAGGAGGGACACCGCGACGUGCCCGAGCUCGCCACGCCUUCUCCUGCUUGCCGCCGAACCCCUGGACGCGUGGGUGAACGUCCAGCGUCGCCCCGAACCGCUCGACCCCUCUCACUCUCCCUGAGUUCUCCCCCCUCCUCUGCUCCUCUCUCCCGAGCGCACCGCGGCACGCCGCCGAGCACCACCGCGGCAACCGCCUCCCCCUCGCCUCUCCGACGUGCCCCCGAGCUCCGCCGUGACGUACCCGUCCCUACCACGGAGCCACAAGACGCCGGACGCCCUGGAGCGCCGUCACCGACGCCAUCUUCUUCCUCUGCACCGACGGCCGCCGUCGCUUGAUUCGCCGCCCACAGAGCAUCCCCGGCCUCGCCCUCGUGCUCGUUGGACUCGCGGUGAGCCGCUGACCCGUUCCCCUCUUCUUCCCAUGCCGUUUGGCCGCUCUAGCCAUUGCUUCCGCCGGACCCGAGAGCUCGCCACCGCCGUGCCUCAUCAUCGUCGUGGCCAGAGCCACCGUGGCUCAAAGCCGGGCACACCACUGUGCUCCAAACCUCACCAGGAGCACGUAGAACCCACCAGCUUCCCCUCCCGAGCACCACAACGCCAAACCCGCAGGUGCCCGAACUCCGGCCGCCGCCUUGGAGCUCGCCGCCGUCGACUCAGGCCACCCCAACUCCUCCCGUUCGCUCCAUUAGAUGUGCCGCAUUGCCAGCUGGCCGUAGCCGCAAACCACGAGUAAAACGGUGCCCUGUAGCGCAAACCCGACGCGGACGCCGCCGCGAUCUCAGGUCGCCGGCGGUUAAACGCCGGCAGCUGACGUGGCACCAUUAGUUUAGGUGCUAAUUAUGUUUAGUUAUUACCUGUGUCAAUGACAUGUGGGUCCCCGCGGAUAUUUAGGUUAGUCUAAUUUUCUGUUAAGAUUAGUACUAAUCUGAGUGGACCCCACGUGUCAGCUUAGACCCUGGUCAAGUCAACGUUGACCGAUCCUACCUGUCAUACACCCAGACCAGCCUGAGGCACUGACGUAUGGGUCCCACAAGUCAGGUUUGACCUGGCCGACCCAGUUGACCUGCUGACAUCACACCUAUGUCAUGCUGACGCAAUAACUCUUUUCUGGAUUUAUUCUUUUACAGUAAAUUCCAGAAAAUAAUGCAAACUUCUAAAAUUCAUAUAAAUUCAACCGUAACUCCAAAUGAGAUAAAUUAUAUAUGAAAAAUGAUCAGAAAAAUCCAAUCUAUCCAUCUGUACCAGUUUCAUGCAUGUUUAGACAAGUUAACUUGCUGUUUAGUGCAAAACAUGAUAAAGCACUAUUUAAGAUCACAAAUGUGUUUGAACUUUGAAUCUUUGGUUCAAAAUAGCUCAAACCCAUCUGGUUGUAGUUGCAUUAGCCCAACACACUCAUUUUACCAUGUCAUGAUCAUGCAUCAUAUUGUGCAUUGCAUUGAUUGUGUUUCUUCUCUGUUGCCGGUAUUUGUUCCCUCUCGAUAGACGUGGUUUCGAUGAUGAGAUCGAUGACACUGAUGAACAGCUAUAUUAUCUUCGGAAGUGCCAGGCAAGCAAAACCCCCUUGUUCAUUCCGAUACAAUCCUACUCUCUCGCUCCUGCUCUAUUUUACUGCAUUAGAACAACAACGAUACAACUGUUACUUGCUGCGGUAGUUGAACCCCUUUAUCCUCUGCAUGACCUAUCAUUGCCACAGUAAAUAGAUGAAACCCACUAGCAUGAGUAGGAGUUGUUUGAGCCAUGAUGUGCCUACUCAUUCAUGCUUGUUUGUCAUGCCUGCUAUUGCUUAGAGUUGAGUCAGGUCUGAUUCAUCAGGGAUGAAUUGGAGGUGUGUGAACAUGUCCUACCGUGUGUAAGCUAAGUGUGAGAACACGAUUUGGUAAAGGUAGCGGUGAGAGGCCAUGUAGGAGUACAUGGUGGGUUGUCUCAUUGCAGCCGUCCUCAGGAACUGAGUUCUGUGUUUGUGAUCCAUGAACAGUUACUACCACACAUUGGGUUCCGGUAACUCGACCCCUCUCGGCUUCUUAAUCACCCUUGUUCUCUGUCCAGGAGUUGCAACUAGUUUCUGGUGUUUGUAGGUAGUGCUAUUUUUCUACCAAGUGGCACCCGGCAGGGUGGGCUUGGGACAGACUAGGCACACGUGGCCUGGUGUACCGAGUGGCACCCGGAUGGUGGGCUCGGGAACCCUGCACACAUCGUUUGGGGCUGUGAGCGACACCCCGGCCGGAUCUCCUUGCGGAUGGAACCCGAAUAGGCGAUAAACCUGGACAAGAGACUUGAGUGUUUAGGUAGGUCGUGGCCGACUCCCUCGCCCGGCUUCCGCUUGAAGGUUGCCGAGGUACAUGACGUGUACAGGGCGAUAAGUGGCGAGAGCGUGUGUGAAGAAGUACACCCCUGCAGGGUUAUCAUUAUCUAUUCGAAUAGCCGGAUUCCUCGGAUAUGGAAACUUGGACCCCUUGCAUAGUUCAUAGACAAGUGAAAGUGGAUACUCUAAAAUACGCAAGAUAAGCGUGAGUGCUAUGGAUGGCGUUCUCGUAGGGAGACGGGAGCGGAUCCAUAGUGGUGUAUUGAUAUGGUGAAUAUGUGGACUCGUGUGCGCCACCUCAAAAGAGUUACUUGCAGUCGUAGUUCAGGUUAGCCACCGAGUCAAAGCUGGCUUGCUGCAGUUAAACUCCACCACCCCUUUGUUGAUAAUGAUGCAUAUGUAGUUAGUUCUGAUGUAAGUCUUGCUGGGUACAUUUGUACUCACGUUUGCCUAUUUUAUGUUUUUUGCAGAGAGACUUCAGUCUCGCUAGUAGUUCCACGUGGACUUCAACGUUUAGCUUGUUACCUCAGCUACGAUCUUGUGCCCUCGGCAGGAUCUUGUAGAUAGUCAGGCUUCUAAGCCUUUUUCAUUUGUAGAUGUCUGUACUCAGACAUGUUAGCCUCCGCUUGUGCUUUGACUUGUAUGCUCUGAAUGUUGGGUCGUGAGACCCAUGUUUGUAAUAUCUCACUCCUCGGAGCCUAAUGAAUACAUACUUGAGUCGUAGAGUCAUGUUGUGAUGCCAUGUUGUAUUUGCACAUAUCGAGCAUAUUGUGUGUAUGCUAUUGAAAUGCUUGGUAUGUGUGGGAUCUGACUAUCUAGUUGUUUAUCUUUAGUAGCCUCUCUUACCGGGAAAUGUCUCCUAGUGUUUCCACCGAGCCAUGGUAGCUUGCUACUGCUCCGGAACACUUAGGCUGGCCGGCAUGUGUCCUUCUUCGUUCCUGUGUUUGUCCCUUCGGGGAAACGUCACGCGAUGAAUACCGGAGUCCUGUUAGCCCGCUACAGCCCGGUUCACCGGAGUCCUGCUAGCCCAGUGCUACAGCAUGGAUUCACUCGCUGAUGACCGACACGUUCGAUGCUGGGUCAUGGAUGCCUAUCCCUGUAAGUUUGUGCCACUUUGGGUUUACGACUAGCCAUGUCAGCCUGGGCUCCUUAUCAUAUGGAUGCUAGCGACACUAUCAUAUACGUGUGCCAAAAGGCGCAAACGGUCCCGGGCAAAGGUAAGGCGACACCCGUGGGAAUACCGUGCGUGAGGCCGCAAAGUGAUAUGAGGUGUUACAUGCUAGAUCGAUGUGGCAUUGAGUCGGGGUCCUGACAGCUUUGGUAUCAGAGCUUGACUGCCUAUAGGAUUACCAAGCCAAACUGGUCGAAGUUGAGUCUAGAAAUGCUUUAGUUAUAUGUAGGGGAAUUGAUUGUGGGAAGGGAAUGUAAGGCUCUUUUUACUUCUUAUACCUCAUGGCCUUCUGAUCUGAGUCAUCCUCUUCUCUUCUACGGGGAUUAAGAACUAGGCCUUCUCAUUUAUCUAUCAGGAUGACUAUUACUAAACCAUAGACUUAUAGAAUUGAUAGUUUCAAAUCUCAGUUCAGUUUUACUACUUCCGUAUGUUCAUAACUGUUGAUCUCGAAACCUUGAUAUUAUGCCUCGGAGUGGCUAUGCCACCAUUUUUGUAGCAUGUCUCCAAUCAUUUUGAGCAUUUACAGCCGUUAUGCUGUCCGAGUCAUCCCAGGUUUCUAAACAAUCUGAUGCACUUGCAAAUCCUUUCCCUCUGGUUUUGAUGUUCCUUUGGGCCAGAUUAAUCACACUAAAUGCUGAGUUGAGGUAUUCUAUUGCCUCGACAUAUAUGUUGGAAUUAUUAUUAUGAACCUAGGUGUCUUAGGGGAUCAUCUAGUAAUCUAUCCAUGUUUUGUGUUCCCGGUGUGAUGAUUCUGGCCACCAUUCUUGAAAGCAUCCCGUGAUGCCAUUUAGUAGUAGGUAUUCUACUCCUGGGUUUUAAACCCGAGAUUCACCCUACCUACUUCAUGUUGAUAGUGUUUGCUAGUUCCUUUAGGUUAUUAGUAACCUUUGCGUUAGUCCUCGAGGUACGUGGUAUUUCCUUCUUCCAAAUACUAUGAACCGCUUAUGGCAGAAGUUCCUCGCUGAACCGAAGGAUCACAAUUAGAGUACUCUUGAGGAGUUCUCCAUUCAUAAUUGUGAAUCUGCCAGUUCUAACCUUUCCGCAUGGGUUAUCUGGAAGAAAUGUUGAGCUACGCUCGACAUACUAAUCUAUGCAUCCACAACUCAGAAAGUUAUAUGUUCCUUUGACUUGUUCUCUUUAGUUGUGUCCUGACCCUCGUCUAUCAAUUGAUAGUCAAGAGUAGGCUUGCAUUCGUUUAUCGAUGCCUAUUACUCUUGUGGUCCGUCAAGCCAUUCUAUCCGGAAUGACUUGGAGAAACAAACUCCAGUACCUCAUCCAUAUCCAGGAUUGGGUCAAAGUAGUUGCAAUCCGCAAAUCAAAUGCCAAUCCAGCUUUUGAUUCUGUUCUACCUCAGAGUAUUACCCCCUUUAUGUCAGGAUUCUCAUGAGAAUUGCAUCAUUUCUCAUAAAUUCUUGACGUAGUGAUACUUCUCGCUAUCAUUUUUCAUUCCUCGGUGCUGUGUUAUUGUAACCGGAAUGCUAACAAGUGAACUGUGAUGUGUGAAAUCGAUACUUCCAGCAACCUCGCUGCUUGGUAGUAAAUGGACAAUAUUCUCAUUCUUAGCGUGUUGGUUAUUGAAUCAUCAUCCUAAGAUUGAUCGUGCUACCUAGUCCGUAUUUUUGGUGCACUCUUCAAUCAAUAGUUAGGAUUAUUUAGUCCCUUGCAUAUUUGAUCAUAUUGUCUUGCCCUGAAAAGCAAGAUUGUUCUCAAGCUUAGUAACAUACCGGUGGUUCGUGAUUUUCCGUAUAUCUUCUCGAAAGUAUUACCAGGUUGUCACCUGACUGCUAUGUUGAGUUCGUGAUCAAGAUGGUUUCUUGUAAACCACCCCUUCUCCAAGAAUCUGUGUGGGAUACCCCUGAGCUAGUUGGUCAAGCUAAACAACAACUUGGAGAGUUGGAAGAUGGAAGCUUGUCCGAUUUAGUUCAUCUUAAGGGAUAUCUUGUGUGUGUUGAAGAAAGAUGAUAUCUUCAUCGAUUGGUCCUCGUGAUUAGUUGUUGGAUCUACUGCGUUGUCAAAACUUUGACUUGAGUAUGGGCUAUUGUCAAGUCAUAUCAGAACCAAUGAUGUGCGUAAUGUUGUCUUACCCGUGGUUGAUCCCUCGGGCAUACACCAUUAUAUCCUUUGGUCUGACCAAUGCUAUCACUGUGUUCACCUAAUUAUGGAAUUCCAUUUAUAUGGAAACCAGGAUGAACUGUUGUUGAGCCCAUCGACAACAUCCUUAUCUUCUCCAUAAUCUUGUUGAACAUUAAGCUAGUAUUGGAAACUUUUGAAAGCAUUUCUUCAUGCUAGCUCAUGAAGCAUAUGUCUAGAUGAAAGAAGUGACUCUCUCUAACUCAUGUGCAUUUGAUGCAAGCUGCCGCCGUGGGUUCGAGAAAGUUAGUUUUUGCUUCCUCUGGAAUCAUCCCAAGUUGGUCACGCAUAUGUGCGAAGUACUCUAUGGUUUGAUAGGUUGGCCGCCUCCAUUCUAUAUGUGUUCCUAGCACACCAAGCCACUGAUUGACUUGUUCAAGGAGAAGAAGCUCCUUCUUAAGAGUAUACCUUAUGCAAGGACUUUGAUAUCCUCGAUGAUGAUUCCCCACCUGAACUCGGUAGUGUUUUAUUAUAAGACUACUAUGUGGCCAUGUUUGUCUGGGACAACGUGUUCACGUGUUUGUAGCAAAACCAGCUCAUGUUUUGGAGCUUACUACCGUAGUCCAUUUCCCGAGAAUCUCGCAACGUCGUCUCGUCGAUUUGUGUUGCAAACUUUCAUUCUUCUUUCUAGACUUGAUGAGUCUGGAAUAUUCUGACACCAACCAGAUCUGAAUCUCAGGCAGAGAUGAUGGUUGGGACAUUUCCCAAGAACUAUAAUAUUGGUCUCUCGAUAACCGGUAAAGUGGAUGUCAUGGUCAACACACCCAGCCGGAAGACCUAUUAUUGUAGUAUCUUGAUGGAGAAAGUUGGCCACCUCCCCAUGAGGAUUUCGUAGGAUUUACUCCCUAGCUGUCCCUUAUGGAUUUUUGUGUUUCUGAAGUCCGACCUUUACUUGAUGUUCUAGAUACCAGACCAUUUCAAUGAAUGGGAUACGCUAAUACAUCAAGGAGAACAUUAGAAGCGGAGUGCUAAAUGUCUCUCGGUCGAUCGUCCAGAUUUCGUCCCCUUGGCCUCGCUAAGGUGAAAUAUGAGAAAGUGUUAUCUUCCUUUGCAUCUGCAUCGUCCAUCGCUACUCAUCAUGGUAGUAUGUUGUGUUGUCAGCACCCUUGACACGGAUGUUAAUAAAACCUUGAUGAUAUGGAAAUGCUCAAGUUCUUGAGAGCACACACAAGCGCUAAGUGUUAUCAUCGGCACUAACUGGGAUUGCUCUCAGUUUCCUCGGUUAUGCUAUAACCAAUCCAACAGUGGAUUCACUCUCUACUGUUGAGCUUCUCCCUAGUUACUAAAAUCAUCCAUUGUGUUUCCUCAACAAGGUAAUCCACAUCAUCCAUACUAGUCUGGGUAUGUCAUUCUUCCGGACUCCUUCAAAUGAUCGAUUAUGAUUUGCCUUAGGCUGGUAUAAAGAGUUUCAAUGAUCUCUGAAUCAAAGGUAAUUCUUUUUGCCACUCAAGGGGAUACUUCUACAAGUCACCUUCCCUAAGGUGUCUCGUUGUGGUAUCAUGGCAACUAUUUUCCUCGCUACUUUGAAACCUCAUCAAAUUGUUUCCUCCGUCCUUCAUGAUGUGUGUUUUGCCUCUCAGCUCAAGAGAUGUUCUACAUCUCAUCCCGUGAGUUGAUCUUGUGGUCAUUAAAAUGAUCCAUCCUUGUAGAGUGUUUCUAUCCUCGUGUUGGAUGAAGAUCUCAAAAACAAAGACGUCAAGAUCAAUUGGAGCAAUGAAUCAGCAUCCUCGAGAAAGACAUCUGGAUCAUGAAGUUGUGUUAGCUUGUGCCCCCUUUGUCUUCUUACCUCACGUCUUAAAUCUCGGGACGAGAUUCUUGUUUAGUAGGGGUGAGCUGUCACAUCCCUAGUUCUGACAAUGCCUAGUGCAUGCAUUAGAGUGUUGCAUCAUGUUUAAAUUUCAUUUAAACCUGAAAUGGGGAUUGUUCAAACCCUAGCAUCAAAGAGGAAUUCAAAUAGGUUCAACCAAAAUAAUUUUCAAUGAUUUCAAAAUGCCCUUUAAAAAUGUUCAUCAUUUCUGGAUCAAGGUGGAAGCAUCUACCAAAAAUGGUUCACAUUUUUGCAGGACAUAUUUGGACUUUGAAUUAAUUCAAACAUAUUUGAAUUGGGGCUAUUUAAAUGCUAUAAAUAUUUUAGAUGCUCCAAAAAUGUUGGAAAUUGUUGAGGGUCACUGAAAUAAUUCAGAAAGCACCCAUAAUUAUUUCCAGGAUUUUAUGAAAUGGUUUAGCUUUAUUACUAAACCAAAACAAAAUAACAGAAAUAGAAAAACUAAAAUAAAAG